rnacentral:tRNA from 1 species
AACAUCUUGGCAGAUUUUUAUGCAAAAGAUUUAGAAUCUUUACAACUCUUA